GACGAACGCUGGCGGCGUGCUUAACACAUGCAAGUCGAACGAAGUGGCGAACGGGUGAGUAACGCGUAAUCAACCUGCCCUUCAGAGGGGGACAACAGUGAGAAACGACUGCUAAUACAGCAUACUGAAGGAGGGGAGUGCGUUGGAUUAGCUAGUUGGAGGGGUAACGGCCCACCAAGGCGAGGAACAGUAGCCGGUCUGAGAGGAUGAACGGCCACAGUGGGACGUAGACACGUCCCAGACUCCUACGGGAGGCAGCAGUGGGUAAUCUUCCGCAAUGGACGAAAGUCUGACGGAGCAACGCCGCGUGAGUGAUGACGGCCUUCGGGUUGUAAAGCUCUGUUAAUCGGGACGCGGUACCGAAAUAGAAAGCCACGGCUAACUACGUGCCAGCAGCCGCGGUAAUUC
rnacentral:rRNA from 1 species